rnacentral:rRNA from 1 species
AAAUGACUCUCGGCAACGGAUAUCUCGGCUCUUGACGUAGCGAAAUGCGAUACUUGGUGUGAAUUGCAGAAUCCCGUGAACCAUCGAGUCUUUGAACGCAAGUUGCGCCUGAAGCCAUUAGGUUGAGGGCACGCCUGCCUGGGUGUCACAC